rnacentral:rRNA from 1 species
CCGAGUGGCGGACGGGUGAGUAACGCGUGGGUAACCUGCCUCAUACAGGGGGAUAACGGUUAGAAAUGACUGCUAAUACCGCAUAAGCGCACAGUACCGCAUGGUACGUUGUGAAAAACUCCGGUGGUAUGAGAUGGACCCGCGUCUGAUUAGCUAGUUGGUGGGGUAACGGCCCACCAAGGCGACGAUCAGUAGCCGACCUGAGAGGGUGACCGGCCACAUUGGGACUGAGACACGGCCCAA